rnacentral:rRNA from 1 species
GACGAACGCUGGCGGCGUGCUAACACAUGCAAGUCGAACGGUGAACUCCGCUUGCGGGGGGAUCAGUGGCGAACGGGUGAGUAACACGUGGGCAACCUGCCCUCAGCUCUGGGAUAACUCCAAGAAAUUGGGGCUAAUACCGGAUAUGACCGCUGACCGCAUGGUCUGGUGGUGGAAAGAUUUAUCGGCUGGGGAUGGGCCCGCGGCCUAUCAGCUUGUUGGUGGGGUAGUGGCCUACCAAGGCGACGACGGGUAGCCGGCCUGAGAGGGUGACCGGCCACACGGGGACUGAGACACGGCCCAGACUCCUACGGGAGGCAGCAGUGGGGAAUAUUGCGCAAUGGGCGAAAGCCUGACGCAGCGACGCCGCGUGGGGGAUGACGGCCUUCGGGUUGUAAACCUCUUUCAGCAGGGACGAAGCGAAAGUGACGGUACCUGCAGAAGAAGCACCGGCCAACUACGU